CGCCAAGUAGCUAGCCCGCCUAAUCAAGCACAACAACUCACUAUUAAUACCCCCAAACACACCAAAAUUUAUGUAAACAAACCAUUUUUCCCCCCUAGUAUGGGAGACAGAAA
rnacentral:rRNA from 1 species